AGCUUUGCGCAGUGGCAGUAUCGUAGCCAAUGAGGUUUAUCCGAGGCGCGAUUAUUGCUAAUUGAAAACUAUGUGUCAAGUAGUCGUCUAAGCACUUCACAUGCAUUACUCAUUUAAAAUUUGUCACCACAACUCUUUG